AUAUCCCAGUGUACGGUAUAAUACAGAGACAGGUGAGGUGUAAUAUCCCAGUGUACGGUAUAAUACAGAGACAGUGAGGUAUAAUAUCCCAGUGUAUAAUACAAUAACAGGUGAGGUGUAAUAUCCCAGUGUACGGUAUAAUACAGGUGAGGUGUAAUAUCCCAGU